rnacentral:rRNA from 1 species
GAUGAACGCUGACAGAAUGCUUAACACAUGCAAGUCAACUUGAACUUCGGUUUGGGUGGCGGACGGGUGAGUAACGCGUAAAGAACUUGCCUCACAGCUAGGGACAACAUUUGGAAACGAAUGCUAAUACCUGAUAUUAUGAUUUUAGGGCAUCCUAGAAUUAUGAAAGCUAUAUGCGCUGUGAGAGAGCUUUGCGUCCCAUUAGCUAGUUGGAGAGGUAACGGCUCACCAAGGCGAUGAUGGGUAGCCGGCCUGAGAGGGUGAACGGCAAAAAGGGGACUGAGACACGGCCCUUACUCCUACGGGAGGCAGAGGUGGGGAAUAUUGGACAAUGGACCAAGAGUCUGAUACAGAAAUUCUGUGUGCAAGAUGAAGUUUUUCGGAAUGUAAAGUGCUUUCAGUUGGGAAGAAAAAAAUGACGGUACCAACAGAAGAAGUGACGGCUAAAUACGUG